CUCGUGCAACCGCUAGAGAGGGACGCAACUGUUCAGUUCUCCUGACAUUUGCUUGAACAUUGUCCAUAAAUAGUUCAGUUCUAGUAUUUAAUAAUUUUUGUUAGUGUAAAGUUUAGAGGGCACUGUAGUGUCAUAUUUAUAUAUAUUUAGUUUGUAUAUUAGAUUUAGUUUAUAUUAGAGGCGAGAGGAGAGGAGAGAGAGGGGAUUAGGGAGCAGCCAUGAGCUGCAUCCCGUUCACCAUCCGUUGGCCAUUCGGCAAGAGGGAGGUGAUGCCGAAAGAUGAGCCACAACCAGCUCUGGAGAGGCACAAGCCUAUGACACCGCAGUCAAAACAACAGCCCUCUGCCCCAAGGACAUGGCAAGAGCCCCUGGCCCCCAGGGCACAGCUAGAGCCACCACAACCCCGGGCAAGACAACAGCCCCCAGCCCCUAGGGCACGGCAGGAGCCCCCACCACCACGGGCAAGACAACAGCCUCCGGCCCCCCGGGCAAGGCAACAACCCCCAGUCCCUAGGGCACGGCAACAGCCCCCAGCCCAUAGGGGACGGCAGGAGCCCCCACCACCGCGGGCAAGACAACAGCCUCCGGCCCCUCGGGCAAGACAACAGCCCCCACCACCGCGGGCAAGAGAGGCACCCAUGCCAUAGAGGCAAGUGGCCUAAUAUUAUCACCUGAGAAGGCAUGCCCUACUAACAUCAGAGGCAUGCGCCCCCAACCACCACCAACGGAGAGGCACGCCCUCCACCACCAACGGAGAGGCACACCCCCCACCACCAUCGGGGAGGCACACACCCCCACCACCAUCGGGGAGGCACACCCCCACCACCAUCGGGGAGGCACACCCCCACCACCAUCGGGGAGGUGCUUGCAGACACAUAAUGUAUUUAUAAUUACAAUUUCCUAAUAAAAUGUUUAUGCAUUAUGA